UACGAAGGUCCCAAGCGUUAUCCGGAUUUAUUGGGUUUAAAGGGUGCGUAGGCGGGCUAUUAAGUCAGUGGUGAAAGCCCCAGCUUAACUUGGGAACUGCCAUUGAUACUGAUGGUCUUGAGUACAUUUGAGGUGGGCGGAAUGUGUCAUGUAGCGGUGAAAUGCUUAGAUAUGACACAGAACACCGAUUGCGAAGGCAGCUCACUAAACUGUAAACUGACGCUGAGGCACGAAAAGCGUGGGGGAGCAAACAGG
rnacentral:rRNA from 1 species